CUUGCCCGAGAUCGCACAGCAGACGUGGAGGAGCCGGGAUUAGAACCCACGGCCAGAUCACUGCCCUCGUGGAGCUAACGAUCUGUCAAUCGCCGGUACUGAUCGAGCGCCUUUCUGUGUGCAGAGCACUUUGCGAAGCCCUCGGGAGAGUCCACAAGAGGUAAAAGACAAGAUCCCGGCCUUCAAGGAGCUAAAGAGGGAAGUCACCAAACGAUUUCCAGGCUGGAGGAGCAAGAAGGCGGAGAGGGCCAGUCCCAGCCGAUCCCGGAUCCCGAAAACCCACCGUGCUUGGUCUGAGCCAGGAUUUGGGGAGAAUUACGAGUGUCUGGACCACCCAGAAAACGGCAUCUGUCAGUUCCCGUCCAGACGAGGGGCCGGCGAUGACAUCGGGCGGCAGGGAAGUUCCCGCAAAUGGAAAAACAAAAUCCAUCUUUGUGGACACGGAUUCUCCCUGAAAGUCUCGACAAUUGCGUCACCCCAGAUGAAGCCGGGGGUAACACGUUACAGAGAGAGGAAGUCACCAGCAGGUAAAAUCGACCUCCGGCGCUCUGAGAUCCGGUCCGGAAAGUUCCGGCCUCGCCGCUGAAGAACGCAGUUAGUGCGGCCCAGUGUUUCCUCUUCUUUCGGCCUCGCCCAAGCGCUCAGUACAGUGGUCUGCACACGAAGAGACCGGAGGAAACCUUGGAGAAACAACACAUCGCGGAGGGUCGUCCGACAAAGCCAAGAAGCGGCGGGCCCGGGCCCCGGGCCCAGACAGCUGAAGCUUCCUC